rnacentral:rRNA from 1 species
UACAUGGGGUGCAACCGUUGCUCGGAAUUACUGGGCGUAAAGGGCGCGUAGGCGGGAUGGCAAGUCGGUCGUGAAAUCCUUCGGCUCAACCGAAGAACGUCGAUCGAUACUGCUGUUCUUGAGGGUUGCAGAGGAGACUGGAAUUCCCGGUGUAGCGGUGAAAUGUGUAGAGAUCGGGAGGAACACCGGUGGCGAAGGCGAGUCUCUGGGCAAUUCCUGACGCUGAGGCGCGAAAGCGUGGGGAGCAAACGGG